CUUCUUCUUCUUUUGCUGUAUUUAUUUAUUCUAUUUUAUUUUAUUUUUUGUUUUUAGGGUUUUGGUUGGUAUGCUUAUUCAUGUUAUAUUUGUAUUUAUCAUACCUCCUAAACUUCGCUGUAGGAGUUCUUGUGAUGAUUGGUUGAGGGAGUGGGUGGAAGGGCAUUAGUUAUUUACUCAAUUAGUUUUUUAUGUAUUCUACUUUGAUUAACUCUUUUAUUUCACUCGAUACUUCACCGGAAAAUAUUAUAAACAUUAUACAUUACAUUUAUUGGCAAGCAUAAUCACACAUAUAAAUUUUGGCUCUGUGACCUAAUACAAAUGUGCUAUAUGAUAUGAUCUUUUUGUACCUUGUCUAAUUCUUUUUAUUUCACUUAGUACAUCAAAUUGCAAAAAAGUAUUAUCUAGAUAUACAUUAAAUUUAUAACCAAAUUUAACUAUGCGAGUUUUCAAAUAAGCUAUAUAUGUAAUAUAAUGUAAAUAUUUAUCACCUGAUAAAGAAGAGAGAAAGAUGCAGAGAAAAAAUGUUUAUAUAGAAGAGAAGUUGAGGUGGGAGAGAGAGUAGAGACAGGUUUUUGUGAAUGUUCCUCUUGUAAUUCGAAACCAUAUAACACACACUAGUACUCCCCACCACAACUAUCUGUAGUAUACCUUUUCAACUCCAUAAAGGCCCACUUUUUCAACUCCACAAAAGCCUUUUUUGUCACUUUGGUGUAAACACACUAUUAGAGCCCGCUUAGUUUGUCACUUUGGUGUGAACACACUAUUAGAGUCCGCUUAGUAUGCGAUACGAAUAUUUUCUACCAUAUAUCCUUAACAAGUUUAUAAUAGCAAAUUCGGCAUUAAAUAAACCAUAUGUUCUUAGCAAGUUUACAAUAGCAAAUUCGAUAUUAAAUAACUUGUAUUAGAUAGUUAGCUUUCUUAGCAAGUUUGCAAUAGCAAAUUCGAUAUUAAACAACUUGUAUUAGAUAAUUAACUUUCAUAACUCAAAAGACUAUACGAUACAUAUAUUUUCCACCAUAUAUCCUUGGCAAGUUUGCAAUAACAAAUUCUACAUUAAAUAAACCAUAUAUUCUUAGCAAGUUUGCAAUAGCAAAUUCGAUAUUAAAUAACUUGUAUUAGAUAGUUGACUUCCAUAACUCAAAAGCCUAAAAAAAUAGCUAUUACUCACACCUGUAAAUAACUUGUAUUAGAUAGUUGACUUCCAUAACUCAAAAGCUUAAGAAAGUACCUAUUACUCACACCUUCACUGUGAUUCUUUGUAAAGUUUAUACCUGCGAUUCUUCUGAAANNNNNNNNNNNNNNNNNNNNACAGAAUAUGGAUUGGAGGUGAAAUCACAUAAAUUUACAUUGCAAUAAUCUUUUUCUUAAUAAUCUAACUAUAAAUUUAAGAAGUUAAAAUGCACUUCCAUUUUUGUUUCAAAGAUUUUGGGAGUUUCGCAGUUUUGAAAUUUAUUUGACCUAUCGUCGAUCUAGAAAAGAGAGAGCAAGGUAUAACAUUAAAAAAAUAAUAAAGGAGAGUCGAUCAAUGAAAAAAGUUGGUGAGAAUGAGAUUAAAUUGAUCAAUGAGAAAAGUCGGUCGUCUAUGUGUGAGUCGAUCAAUGAAAAAAGUUGGUGAGAAUGAGAUUAAAUUGAUCUCGGUCACCUCUGUGUCCUAAAGGUGCUCAACUUUUCUAAAAGUAGCACUUAAACAAAAAAUUUAGCAGAGAUAGAGAAAGUUGAUCAAUAAGAAAAUUGAGACGUUUCUGCAUCCUAGCACACUCUACUUUUUAAUUUAUCUACCCAAAAUUACUUCUUUUUAAUUUCUUAAUUUCUUUCCAAUGGUUAUCACAAUUUAUGAAAAACGUAGGUUACCGUUUAAAAAAAAAAAAAAUGAAAAGGUUACUUGGGCAAGUCCAAGCAGUAUAUAGUUCAGUAUUGUAUGAUUCAAGGGACCCGCAUGCAUAAAAAAAACAAAAAGGAAAAAGAAGAAGAAAAUUGAACUUGGGAAAAUUUUCAAAUUUGAAAGUGAUUAUUAUUAUUUUUUAUAUUCAUGGUAGUUUAGAUUAUGGAUCCCUAAAAUUUUAAAUCCAACUCGAUAUUUUAAAUUGAUUUCAAAGAGGGACCGCAUGGGAAUGGUUGGCUGCACCGACUCAUAGAAACACCAUCCUUACCUACAAAGGUUAUGUCUUUGAAAAAAUAUAUUAAAAUAAAAUCGAUUAAAACGAAACUAGAGUAUUAAAGUUGAAAAAUAAUAAAAAAAUAUUGGGAAAUUUAUCAAAUUACUUAUAAGUGAUGGAAAAUAAAAAUUAUGGCCAUAUCUUAUAAUUUUAUUUAAAAAUUCCCAUAAAAAAAUAGAUGGUCUUGAUUUGGAAUAGUUGCAAAUGGACAAAAUGCUAAAUACUUUAUCUCCAAUGGGCAUUAAAUACUUUAUCUCUAAUGGAAUUUAGAAAAAAUUAUUUAUAACUGGAAAUAAUAUGGAAAAUUCCAUUUGGUGUGAAAAAAAUUCUCCCAUCUAAUCACAUGAGGGAGUCUUUCAUGUAAAAAUACUUCCACAGGAGAAAUUUUAAAUGUACUAAAUAUGCCCUGGAUCUAAUAUUCGAAGGAGAAAUUUCACAUGUACUAAAUAUGCCCUGGAUCUAACAAUAGAAGUAUCGACAAGCGUAUGUUGUUACUUAGACACACAAGUUUUGCAUGUGCAUUAAAUACGUUAAAUAUUAAAAAAAUACAACUAACUUAAAUUAAAAUUAUAAAAAUCAAUAAAUAAAUACAUUUAGAUGACAAUGAUUAAUAGAAUUCAUGAGGCAUAAAAUUAAUCCUUUAGAAAAGUUGAGCAAAAAAAUAUAAUUACAUUCUUAAGGAAAAGAAAAGUAAUGAUAAAUCAAACUAUCAUAAACUUAUAUGAUGCAAGAUUUAAAAAAAUAGCAAUAUUGAUUUCUCUUUAGCUAAUUAAAAAUUCACUUAGACAAUUGGAAGAAAAAAAUUAACUAAUACAAUUAGACCAAAUUAUCACAAUAAAAAAGUACGCUAACGUAAUCAUAAUAAUACGGUAAAAAAUUGCUUAAUGUAAUAUACCUCUUCAGUCUACUCCAAUGCCCCAAUAUAACUUUUUUUUUUCUUACAAUGUAUGACAAGCAUCCUAGUUUACUAACCAAAAUUCUCCGUCAAAUUUUGUGUAAAGAGAU
rnacentral:lncRNA from 1 species